UUUUGGCCUCCGGUUCGGUUUUGUAUUGAUUUAUUUAAUAACUAUUACCGGUGAAUUCGCGGAGAAAAUUGUUGAUUGUUGUUAAAGUUUACGUGUGAUUCGAAAGUUUGGAACGGAAUAAGGAAUCCGGUUGCAUUCUGCCACACUGUAUUGGUCUGAGAAAGACUUUGCAAGUGGUGACCUUAUCACAUACGCUGCUCGCUAGCUCGGAAGUAACCGGAGAUAAACGGAUAUUGGUCAUCUGUCCCGAGAUCUGUCCGCUACAGUCGACUGUACUUGGGUUAAUGAGCUCCGGAUCUGGAUGAAACUUGUGAAGAAGGGCUAGGGCUUGUUUGCCAUUGCCGGGGCGGACGAUUUUAAGCGUUUUCCAUCGUCGAUCAAAAUCUUGAAACCACUGGCGCCUUCUCGGAAUCUCUCAUCUUGGACCAAACAACCGCUGGACAAACACGCCGUUGUCGCUACCUCACAGCUUUCUCGUCAUGAUCGAUUACAAUCGAUUACGAUUCCAUUUUAAGCGCAAAAUUAUGAUCGCCAACAAUACUAACGAACGCGGCUCUCAUCACCAAAACAGUCACUAACGUCGAUUCCGCAAUGCACGACCACAAAUCAACCGGCUCAGGCGCAAAUCAACUGAAACAAGGGUGAACUCGAAUUAGUCAAGUACAUCCGGAUGAAGUCGCGACGGAUUGGCAAGGCCAUUAUGACUAUUCGCUUAUUGCAACUAGACAGCCAAUGGACUUCAAAUCGGGCAUGAAGCUGGGGGUGGUGGAUCGCUAGAAUCAAAUGCUCAUUCGGCCGACAACGGACGUGGCCACGGACGGGUGCAACAUUAAAAUAUGCUUCAAUGAUUGACCAAAUUUUACCACUUACUCUUCUGGAUCGAGGACUAUAGCUUGGACAUUCACCCGAUGAACUGGUGUAAGAGGACCUACCGUACAAUCGAAUUUUCAUGAGAUCAUCGACCUGCGUGUAUUAAAAGCAUCUGUAAAGUUUUAUUCUGCCUGGGAAAGGGGAAUGUCAAAUUUCUAUUUAUUAAAACGUCAAACCAAGAAUAUUAAAAAUAAAAUCGGGAAUUCCUUCGAAAA